rnacentral:lncRNA from 1 species
CGGCGUCGCACAAGUACAAGAGUUCAAACAUUAUACAACCACAACCAGAUGAAUAUACAAAUGACCAACAGAUAAACAUUCAUACACCAUUCACCACAGAUUCACAUUAAUACAUUCGAUAUUUAAAUAUAAAUCCACAUCUAUUAGUUAAAAUAUUUUCAACCACAGGAACAGGUUUUGAAAUACUAAGAUACAAAAUCCAUAGAAAACCUUUUGAAAACUGUUCCCUACACAGGAACUUUUAUCUUUUUUUAAAACGCUACCACGAGGGGUAGAAAACCUUUUAUUUUACAAAAUCCAGAAAUCCUUUUAUUAUAUUUAUGAAAAUCCAUAUUUUCAAAUGUAAAUAAAUACUGAACCAUACAAGCUAGCUAUGCUAUAUCAACAGAAUAGUAAGGGUAGAAACUAAACCGAAAUAACCUGGGUCGGAAGCUCUAUCGACCGCUACGUAUCUCACGUCUCGUCUCAACCCUCACCGCCCGCGAUACCUGAAAAAAUAGUGGGGGAGGUGAGAACAUGUAAACAUGUCUCCCCUUCCAGUGGGUAUCGCAAGCCGAAGAAGGCGAGGAGUACUCACCGGAUCAGAAAGAGCUAUACAACAACACCGGUCAGUGGAAAAUAUAGUAGGAACAAUAAUAAACGAAAGAGAUGUAUAAGGUAAUGAGCAGAUAUACUGAAUACAGUAGCAAUAAACUGAAAGAAAGUAGGAACUAGACUGAAUAACGGCUUCCGCUACUAUAACUGGAACAGAAAGUAUACAUGAAUAUCUACUAUAGUAGCAAGACAAUUAUAAAGCAAGAACUAUAAGUAUGCAUGCAACGACUGCUACUAUAGGCAUAUGCGUCAACUGGAUGUAAAGACCAAAUAUACCCAAUCUGAAAUCUGCUGCUCUGUUGGUACGCACCUGAACCUCAAGCCUGUGCCACUACUACUUACCCUGUACCUGACCCUUGCAAUGAAGCCCCUGGGUCAGAAGCAUAUACCCUCGCAAUAAAGCCCCUGGGCUCACGGCUUGGCAAUCCAACCACUUUUCCGGAAAAGAAUACCCUCUUGCGGUGGAUCAGACCGCUGUUGUUCGUGAAAUGCGUACCUGGAGUGGCGAUCAAUGUAGUAUGCUCAAAGAUCUUCCAUCGGCAACUAGCCGACAAUCCAGCCCCUCAGGGCACAUCGACCGUAUAGGUCAUCAGCAACUAGUCGGCUACGUAUGUCAAGAUAGAACUGUAGCAACUCGACCGAAUAGGUCAUAGAUAUCAAAAUAGGGGAAACGCCCAACCAAAUCACAGAUAUAGUGAACAGAUAAGUCAACUCUACUUCUAAGCAUGAUAUCGACAUGGAAAUAACUGAGUAGAGGAAUGCAGAUAUAAAUGCAGGUGCAAGGUUCAAUAUAACUGUAAGGUAGAGUAAACAGUAGGGGUAAAGAAGCGUCACCGAGCUUGCACCACUGUACCGACGUCGGAUCGAAGUACCCACCUGUACAACUGUCGCACCUGUCUCCUGACUGCAAAAGAACGUCAACCGGACCUAAGGAGGGUCCACUGGAUUAGUGUCUAACCCACAACUAAGAAACCCUAAAAGCAUACUCCCACAAAUAAACCCACGAGAAUCGGUUUCCCAAACUGAUCACCGUAGUACGCCGGAAAUCCCGUAAUCGCACCGAGACUCUGCCGAGACCUACGGACUAUCCCGAAAUGUUCCGACUCAUGAUACGAGUCACCCGCUGCCACAAAACACACCAAUUUGGAUGUCUUGGCAGCAAACACAAGUUAACACAACUACACAAUUAUCGCCGGAUAAUUGUACGAACUCGAGUUCCUGAAAGUGUCAAAUUCGACACCGGAACCCACCGUCGCUCACUCAUCAUUUCUGAACUCUCGAAAUGAUGCAAGUGACCAGCAAACAAGGCUCGGCGACUACACAAUAGCUCACGAAGCACCGUCGGAAUAAUUCCGAACCGAACCCGCGUUCCGUCGGUGGAUUUCGCCGAGAAACGCAUAGGCAAUCACUUUUCGAUUUCCGCAAGGGCUUGGGGCCUUGGACGAUCAGUCCAGAGGUUAUCCUCAACCCAAACAUGCUGCCAACAGCAUCUGCGAAGAACAAAGUUGCAUAAAAGCCCUUCCGAAUACUCGAAAUCGCAUUAUUUCAUGCGAUUUCGGCGCUUUUAUGGUCCGUCCACGCAAACCAGAGGUCAAUCAGCCGAGCCAAGAUUCCCACUGACAGGUUUCGACGUGCCGGAGGCCGUGCUCACCUUUCGGAGCAAUUUCGGCCACUGUAAAGAGCGCGGGAGUGAUGCGAAAGUCUGUGAACAGCGCGCACAGCAUGAAAAACAAGCUUAUCUCGCUAACCAGGGGCUCGCUGACCCUAAUUGAGAUGAGCACUGUGAUCAGCACUGACUGAUGAUCACCAUGCUCACUUCUGGAGGCAACGGAACAGCCUCGGGUCGCCAGAAUAGUAUACACAACCCCAAACAGUGCACAAUAAUUGCAAUACAAGCUUACCGGAGCUAAGCAGGGCUCGGGGUGGCCGGCGGCGGCAGGACGGCGAGCAGGCCGGCCAGGGGCAGGUGCGGCAGGUCCCAGGUGGCCCGGGCUGGCGGCAGCAGGCGACGAGAUGCGGCGGCGACGACGGCCAAUGAUGCCCUAGGCACCCAAACCCGAAGAGAACACGGGUUCGCUGCGGCCGACGGGGAGCUCCGACGGCGCGGGCGAUGACGGCGGACGAGUGCGGUCGACCAACCGGGACCCGUGCUCAUGCCAUUCGGCGGCGGAACGCGGCUGCGGCGGUGUUGGACCAAACCGAGCCCGCACGGGUUCACCACGGGCUCCAUAAGGUAGCGGCGGCUAAUGGCGGCUGCCGGAGGAAUGUCGGGGCGACGGCGGCACGUCGCCGGAGGUCGAGGAAGGUCGCACGCCCGACGGUGGGCGGCGGCGACGUGAGGAGGCGCUGCGGGCUCAAGCUCGGCCCGCACCAGGUCUGGGCGGGCGCAAAGAGCGGAAGCGGCGGCCGGCGACCUCGGGGGCGGCGGCGAUGACACGCGGAGGUUCGCCGGAGAUUUCGGGGGUCGGCGCGGCCGAUCUGGAGUGGCGGCGGCGCGCGGGCCCACAGCCCACCCGGGCUCACUCUGAGCUAAUCGCGGGUAGCUACCUAUCUCCCAGGUGGCACCGGUGGCGCGCGUGGACGGGGACGGCCGGCUGCGAUGAUGCCGGAGAAGGGUCUCGGCCAGAAGGUGGAGUCCCAACGUGGAUGGUGACCCCCCGAGAUCAAGGACCAACGAAGGUGGUGGCUAGGUGGAGAUGAUGGUAGAGGAGAGGCCGAUCCAGGUUUCCGGCAGCCGGGGAAGCUCGCCGNGAACGUCAACCGGACCUAAGGAGGGUCCACUGGGUUAGUGUCUAACCCACAACUAAGAAACCCUAAAAGCAUACUCCCACAAAUAAACCCACGAGAAUUGGUUUCCCAAACCGAUCGCCGUAGUACGCCGGAAAUCCUGUAAUCGCACCGAGACUCUGCCGAGACCCACGGACUGUCCCGAAAUGUUCCGACUCAUGAUACGAGUCACCCGCUGCCACAAAACACACCAAUUUGGAUGUCUUGGCAGCAAACACAAGUUAACACAACUACACAAUUAUCGCUGGAUAAUUGUACGAACUCGGGUUCCCGAAAGUGUUAAAUUCGACACCGGAACCCACCGUCGCUCACUCGUCAUUUCUGAACUCUCGAAAUGACCCCAGUGACCAACAAACAAGGCUCGGCGACUACACAAUAGCUCACGAAGCACCGUCGGAAUAAUUCCGAACCGAACCCGCGUUCCGUCGGCAGAUUUUGCCGAGAAACGCAUCGAAAAUCACUUUUCGAUUUCCGCAAGGGCUUGGGGCCUUGGACGAUCAGUCCAGAGGUUAUCCUCAGCCCAAACAUACUGCCAACAGCAUCCGCGAAGAACAAAGUUGCAUAAAAGCCCUUCCGAAUUCCCGAAAUCGCAUUAUUUCAUGCGAUUUCGGCGCUUUUAUGGUCCGUCCACGCAAACCAGAGGUCAAUCAGCCGAGCCAAGAUACCCACUGACAGGUUUCGACGUGCCGGAGGCCGUGCUCACCUUUCGGAGCAAUUUCGGCCACUGUAAAGAGCGCAGGAGUGACGCGAAAGUCUGCGAACAGCGCGCACAGCAUGAAAAACAAGCUUAUCUCGCUAACCAGGGGCUCGCUGACCCUAAUUGAGGUGAGCACUGUGAUCAGCACUGAUUGAUGAUCACCGUGCUUACUUCCGGAGGCAUCGGAACAGCCUUGGGUCGCCAGAACAGUAUACACAACCCCAAACAGUGCACAAUAAUUGCAAUACAAGCUUACCGGAGCUAGGCAGGGCCCGGGGUGGCCGGUGGCGGCAGGACGGCGGGCAGGCUGGCCAGGGGCAGGUGGGCAGGUCCCAGGUGGCCCGGGCUGGCGUCAGCAGGCGACGGGAUGCGGCGGCGACGACGGCCAAUGAUGCCCUAGGCACCCAAACCCGAAGAGAACACGGGUUCACUCCGGCCGACGGGGAGCUCCGGCGGCGCGAGCGACGACGGCGGACGAGUGCGGUCGACCAGCCGGGACCCGUGCUCACGCCGUUCGGCGGUGGAACGCGGCUGCGGCGGUGCUGGACCAAACCGAGCCCGCACGGGUUCACCACGGGCUCCAAAGGUAGCGGCGGCCAAUGGCGGCGGCCGGAGAAAGGUCGGGGCGAUGGCGGCACGUCGCCGGAGGUCGAGGAAGGUCGCACGCCCGACGGUGGGCGGCGGCGACACGAGGAGGCGCUGCGGGCUCAAGCUCGGCCCGCACCAGGUCUGGGCGGGCGCAGAGAGCGAAACGACGGCUGGCGACCUCGGGGGCGGCGGCGAUGACGCGCGGAGGUUCGCCGGAGAUUCCGGGGGUCGGCGCGGCCGAUCUGGAUUGGCAGCGGAGCACGGGCCCAGAGCCCACCCGGGCUCGGUCAGAGCUAAUCGCGGGUAGCUACCGAUCUCCCAGGCGGCACACGUGGCGCACGUGGACGGCGGCGGCCGGCGGCGAUGAUGCUGGAGAAGGGUCUCGGCCAGAGGGUGGAGUCCCGACGUGGAUGGUGACCCCCCAAGCUCAAGGACCAACGAAGGUGGUGGCUAGGUGGAGAUAAUGGUAGAGGAGAGGUCGAUCUAGGUUUCCGGCGGCCGGGGAAGCUCGCCGGCGGCCGGGCUGCGCGCACUGCUAGGGCAUGGACCUGCAGAUGGCGGCUAGGGCACAGCUGGGAGACAAGGUCGGCCAGAUCUAGGGUUUCGUGCAUAGAAACCCUAGAUGCACAUUGUAUACAAAGUGCAAUUUUGCACAAAAGUCCACCGAAGCUUGGUAUUUCUUACCCAGUCCUUCAUAGUAGGUAACAAUCGCGCUUUUACACCUCCAUAAUCAAUCUCACGCAAUUCGGUACCUAAAAUAUUAAGACUUUUGCGAAUUUCCUGAUUUUCCACUCUCGACCCCUUAGCGAACUUCAUGCAAUAUCCGACAAUCCGUUCAUCGAAUUUCCGAACGGAUUGCACCAUCGCGUUCAGCACGAUGAAGGCAAUGAAACUACGAUUUCGUUUCAUCCGAUUUACUUGCCGAUUUGCGACCAAAUCCAUCCGUUCUCCAACUAAUCCACAAAUUACACAUAGACCUAUGUAUAAACCCUAAAACCUUUAAUCCAAAUUCAAAUUUGAAUUCCCUACCACCAGUAGGUACCAGAAACAACUCUCACCUAACCCCAGGUCACAAACAUAGAGCACGAGGAGUCUCCUUAUGCAAGAACAACAAAGAGCGAAAACCCUCUUUUCGAUAAAAUCCCUUUUUCUCGAAAACCGUGCAUCAGAUCUGAAAUCCGUGGGUGCCAAGCUCAACAUCCAUUGGUUCCAGAAUAGCUGAACCGAUCAAAACGAGCUAUUGGAUCGCUAUGAACGGAGUCCAAUAUGCGCCGAAAGCCAACUCUACUCCGUGGCUUCACUGAAAAACCAGGUUACUAUUCACUUUAAGUGAAAACUAAUAAUCGCGUAACUUCUCCAUUCUAGCUCAUUUUCUCCUGAAACUUGACGAGUGCUUAUGUAACUAAAUUACACACAUAAACAUCAUCAGCAGAGAGUUUAUUUGCACUGUAAAAAUCUCAGUCCUUACAACAACGUGGGUGCCAGGCUCAACAUAUAGUAUAAGCACGGAUAAUAAUAAGAGGGCAAGGGUGUAAGGACUGAGACUUUUGCAGUGUAGCUAAACUCUCAGUUGAGGAUGUUUUUGUGUGUAAUUUAAUUACAAUAGCACUCGUCAAGUUUCGGGUGAAAACGAGUUAAAACGGAAAUUCUACGCGAUUUCCAAGUUUCAUUUAAAGUGAAUAGUAACUCGAUUUUCCGGAGAAAUCACGGUGGGAAGUUGGCUUCUGGCUCGUAUCGGACUCCGUUCCUAGCGGUCCAAUAGCUCGUUUCGACCGGUUCAGCUGUUAUGGAACUAUUGGCGCUGACAGAUUUUGAGUUUGAUGCCCGGAUUUCAAGAAAAUCCAAAAAUACAUGUUUUAUAUGUAUUUUAGCGUUGUUUCCUCUAUUGGCGAGAAAGAUUAGAUUUUGUCGCGAAUCCAUGGUCGAUCGUGGUGAAACGAAAUCGUAGCUUUGUUGUCUCCGUCGUGCUGAUCGCACUGGUGCAAUCCGUUCGCAAAUCUGACGGACGGAUCUGUGGAGAUUGCGCGUUGAUCGAGAAGAGGUCGGUAAUGGCAAAACGUUAACUUCGCAAAAGUUGCGAUAUUUUAUGUACCGUUUUGCGUGGGAUCGCACGUGGAGGGGUGUCCGCGUGUUUUACACGCGCUAUGAAGGACUCGGUAAUAAAUACUGAGGUUUGGUGGACUUAUUUGCAAAGUUACACCUUAGUAUUUAUAGCUCUUUAGGGUUUGGAGUCUUGUAACCCUAACCUAGCCCUAGCCGCACCCCCAGCCACCUUCACCCCACUUCCCUGCACCUGCUGCGUACGCCCAGGCCGCCGCCGACUUAGCCCCGGCCGGCCAACCGCCGCCGGAGCCACCUUCCUUCCCCCUCUCCCUCUCUUUCUCUCUCUCUCUCUCCUCUCGGGUUGUGAGGAAGCCCGAGACUGCCGCCACCUUCAGACCCUCGGCCAGGGUCGCCCCGUGCUCCGGCGAGCAUCCCCGCCGAGCGCCGCCGUCGCCGAGCGCCGCCGCUGCUGCCACUGCAGCCUGCAGCCGACUUGGCCGAGCCCUGGCCGAGCAGACCGUGCGACCUCUUCCUCGCUUUGCCGCCGCCCUGGGUGACUCCCGUAGCACCUUCCCGACGUCAGGCCGCCGGCCGCCGCCGCCCCGAGCUGCCCAGAGUGCCGCCGCCGCCGCCUCGGCCAGCCCGCAGCAGCCCCAGACCCGCUCGGGCCGAGGCGAGCGUGCGACUCCACCCCAGCGUCGCCGCCGCUUGGGGCCGCACCCGAGGCGUCCCUCCGGCCUCCUGCAACCCUCCUCCGCCGUCUCGGAGCUCCCCGGCCGCCGCCGUGGCUGCAGGUGCCCGCGGAACCCGUGCCCUAGCCAUGCGGGCUUGUCUUGUUCCUCCGCCGCCGCCGCCGCUUCCAGCCGCUGUCUGAGGUGAGCACCUCACUCCUCACCUCCCCCGCACCCAUCCCUAGCCUCCGCGAGCGCCGCCGUGCCGCCGGAAGCCGGCCGGAGCAAGCUUGCUCCGGCCAAGCCCGAAAUAGGGCUUAGUUAGGAUGGUUUACUGUUCCGAGCUUCUCGAGCCUCCCCGAUCUCUACGGAAGGGAGCAUGAUGAUCCUGGAAAGUUGUUGAUCAUCGUGCUCACCUUGGUUUCUGUCAGGAAGGCCCCGUUCCGCUGUUUUUGCGGUGUCGACCCUAUAGAGCCUUUUUGGCUGUUGUUCUGUGUUUGUGCAUGCUUUUCCGGUGAUCCGAGGCUGUUCCGAUGCCUCCGGAAGUGAGCACGGUGACCGCUGGUCAGUACUGAUCACGGUGCUCACCUUAUUUUGGAUCAGCAGUGUCCGGUUAGUCCUGUUCGGCGCGAUCUCCCUUGACUGCGCGCUGUUCGCUCAACAUUCGGGUUGCUCCCGCGCUUCCCACAGUGGGCCGUUGUGCUCCGGAUCAUGAGCACGACCUCCGGUACGUCGAGACCUAUCAGUACGUGUCUCGGUGGACCUUGGAAGUUCUCGGUUUGCGUGAACGAGCCACUUGAUCGCUCAAAUCACAUAAAAUGAUAGGAUUUUAUGUAAUUUGAGGGGCUUUUAUGCAUUUGUGCAUCGUGUGGCUACUGUGGGCAGUGCAUGUGGGUGUGUGAUNUGACCUCUGGACUGAUUGUCCAUGAUCCCUUAGCCUUUGCGGAAAUCGAGGAGUCGAUUUCGGUGCGUUUUGCGGCGAAAUUCGCCGAAAGAACGCGGUUUCGGUUCGGAUUUCUUCCGACGUCGUUUGGUCGCUCUGUGAGUUCCGAUGUCGAAAUAGACACUUUCGGGACUUCCGGCGAGUUAUGACAAUCGGUACUGGAAAAUCGAUCUCCGUGGGUUUGGUUGUGGGUUAGAUACUAACCCGGUGGACCCUCUAUAGGUACGGUUGACAUUCUUUUGCAGUCAGGAGACAGACGCGACAUCCUUACAGGUGGGUACUUCGAUCCGACGUUGGUACAGUGGUGCACGCUUGGUGAUGGUUUCUUACCCUUGCUCUUUUGUUAUUAUCCAUGCAUAUGUUAUAUGUUGAGCUUUGCACCUCUAUUGUUUACAUUGCACCACGUUGUUUGAUUAUACUCUACUCAGACGUUUCCAUGCUUAGUAUCAUGCGUAGGAGUAUAGUCUAUCUGUAUGUGAUACCAUGUUUCCUUAUUGCUCUACUUAGCUAUUCUGCAUAUCCUGUUUCAUGUUUAGAGUAGAGCGGUUUCGUGAUUUCUUGUGAGAUCGGUGACCUAAUCGGUCGGUUCCUUGAUGUCUGUCGUUUGAUGACCUUUGAGGUCGGUGUACCCUGAGGGGUCAAAUUGUCGGCUAGUGGCCGACGGUAGUUCUAGAUUAUAUACUCGGAUGACUUGUUGAUCGAUUCUUGCAUAUAUACAGUAGUUGACCUAUUGAUCAGUAUCUACAUACUUUUGGUAGGAUGUUGAGUUGUUCCAUCCCAGUUGACUUGAUUAGUUAGUACUUGCAUACAGUUGAGAGGAUGUAGAGUCGUUCCAUCCUAGUUGACCUGAGUGGUCAGUUCUUGUGCUUCUUUAUAGUUGAUGACCUAUACGGGUUUCUUACCCUUACUCUUCUGUUGUUAUUAUUGUAGAGUAUAUAUUGAACCUUGCACCUGCAUUUAUAUCUGCACUCCUCUACUCAGUUAUUUCCAUGUCGAUAUCAUGCUUAGAAGUAGAGUUGACUUAUCUGUUCACUAUAUCUGCGAUUUGGUUGGGCGGUUCCCCUAUUUUGAUAUCUAUGACCUAUUCGGUCGAGUUACUACAGUUCUAUCUUGACAUACGUAGCCGACUAGUUGCUGAUGACCUAUACGGUCGAUGUGCCCUGAGGGGCUGGAUUGUCGGCUAGUUGCCGAUGGAAGAUCUUUGAGCAUACUACAUUGAUCGCCACUAGAGGUACGCAUUUCACGAACACCGGCGGUCUGAUCCACCGCAAGAGGGUGUUCUUUUUCGGAAAAGUUGUUGGAAUGCCAACCUGUGAGCCGAGGGGCUUUAUUGCGAGGGUAUAUGCUUCUGACCCAGGGGCUUCAUUGCGAGGGUCAGGUACUAUGCUUCUGACCCAGGGGCUUUAUUGCGAGGGUCAGGUACAGGUUGAGCAGUGUGGCAUGGGCUUGAGGUCUUCGGACCAAUAGGACAGCGAGAUUGGGUACUUUUGAGGUUAUCGUCAGUUGACGCAUAUGUCUAUAGUAACAGUCGUUGCAUGCAUAUUUACAGUUCUUACUUUAUAGUUGUCUUGCUACUAUAGUAGAUAUUCAUGUAUGCUUUUGAUUUCAGUUACAGUAGCGGUAGCCAUUAUUCAGUCUAGUUCUUACUUUCUUUCAGUUUAUUGCUACUGUAUUCGGUUUAUCUGCUCAUUACCUUACAUAUCUCUUUCGUUUAUUGUUGUUGCUGCUAUAUUUCCACUUACCCAUAUUGUUGUUUAUCUCUUCCUGAUCCGGUGAGUACUCCUCGCCUUCAUCGGCUUGUGGUACCCACUGGGAGGGGAGACAUGUUUACAUGUUCUCACCUCCCCAACUAUUUUUCAGGUAUCGCGGGCGGUGAGGGUUGAGACGAGACGUGAGAUACGUACGUAGCGGUCGAUAGAACUUCCGGCCCAGGUUAUUGGUUUAGUUCCUACCUUUACUAUUCUGUUGACAUAGUUUAGAUAGUUUACCUGGUUCAGUAUUUUUAUUACAUUUGAAUAUGUGGAUUUUCAUGAAUAUAAUAAAAAGGUUUUCUACCCCUCGUGGUAGCGUUUUCAAAGAAUAAAGAUUUCCGUGUAGGAAACAGUUUUCAAAAGGAAUUUUCCGUGGAUUUCUGUUUAAACAUUGAAUGUAAAACUGUGAUGUGAAUGGUGAAUGAAUAAUUGCAUAGUCGUUUCUAUAUUCAUUUGGUUGUGGUUGUACCUGGGUUACUUCUUGUACUUGUGCGACGUCGUGCAAAUACAGGGGAGACUCUGUCCGUGUGAACAGUGGAUUUCCUGUAUUUGUGGCGGAUCUGGCAUUUCCUGGGGUUAGGUUUUCAAAAAAAAAAAAAAAAUUUUNNNNNNNNNNNNNNNNNNNNGGUUACUUCUUGUAUUUGUGCGACGCCGUGCAAAUACAGGGGAGACUCUGUCCGCGUGAACAGUGGAUUCCCUGUAUUUGUAGCGGAUCUUGCAUUCCCUGGGGUUAGGUUUUAAAAAAAAAAAAAAAAUUUUCGCAGUGUUUUUAACUUAAAGGGACCCCGGGGCGUGACAAAGGGUAAGAAACCAUCACCGAACGUGCACCACUGUACCGACGUCGUAUCGAAGUACCCACCUGUACGAAUGUCGCGUCUAUCUCCUAACUGCCAAAGCUCGUAAACUGGACCUACGGAGGGUUCACUGGGUUAGUAUCUAACCCACAAAUAUAAAACACUAAUACAUAACCCCACAAAUAUAUCUACAGGAAUCGGUUUCCCAAAACCGAUUGCCGAACUCACCGAAAGUCCCGUAAACCGCACCGGGACUCCGCCGGGACCCACGAACUGUCCCGAAACUCACCAACUCAAGAUACGAGUCGCCCGCUACCACUAAACACCAUUAUUCAUGGUUCCUGGCAGCAAACACAUCGCCUUUAAUCGAAACGAUUAUCGUCGGAUAAUCGUUCCGAUCCAGGUUCUCGAAAGUGUCAAUUUCGACAUCGGAACCUACCGUCGCCCACCCGUCGUUUCUAAACCCUCAAAACAACAUGGUGACCAACCAACAAGGCUCAGUGACACAACAAUUGCCCACGAGGCACCGUCGGAAGAAUUUCAAACAAAAACCGCGUUCCGUCGGCGGAUUUCGCCGAAAAACGCUCCGGAAAUCAACAAUUGAUUUCCGAAAGGGCUUGGGGCCUUGGACGAUCAGUCCAGAGGUUACCCCCAGCGUGCACAUGCUGCCCACCGUGGCCACAACCAACUAAAAUGGAUAAAGGCCCUCCCAGAUACAUAAAAUCAUAUUAUUUUAUGUGAUUUCAGGGCUUUUAUGGUCCGUCUAUACCAACCAGAGGUCCAUCGGCCAAGCCGAGGCACCUGCUGAUAGGUUUUGGCGUGCCGGAGGCCAUGCUCACCUUUCGGAGCACUUUCGGCCACUGAGGCACGCGCACGAGCGACGCAAAGAUCAGCGGAACAGCGCGCACAGCGCUUAAAUCGCGUCGAAUACACAAACCAGGGCAUGCAUGACCCUAACGGAGGUGAGCACAGUGUUCAGAACGAAAUCGAGAUGAUCGUACUCACCUCCACAGUCAUCGGGGUGCCUUCGGAUCACCGAAAAGGUGACUCGAUCCCCAAAUAGUGUGCUAAAGUAUUAAAAAUAGCCAUACCAGAGCACAUGGAGCUAGGGUUGGUCGCCAGCGGCCGGGCGGCGGGCGAUCCGGCCGGGGUUGGGUGCAGCCAGUAGAAGGGGUCCGUGGCAGGUGCUGGCCGGCAGCGAGCGGCAACCAGUGGCGCGGCGGAGGAGAUCAAUUCCGCCAAUAGCUCUCGGGUUCGAGGGCUCCCGGCGGCGAGGCGGCGGCCGGAGGAGCUCGGGGCGACGGCGAUCCGUCCGCGGAGGCCGAGGGAAAGGCGGUGCGCCCCGUAGUGGGCGGCGGCGAGGCACGGUGGUCGUGGGGACUCGGCCUCCGCCCGCACCAACCCAGGGCGGCCGCAGGGUGCACAAGCGGCGGUCGGCGGUCCACGGGGAUGGCCGAGAUGGCGAGCGGGAGGUCGCCGGAGGUGCGAGGAGGGCGACGCGGCCGGCGGGGAGUGGCGGCGGCACACGGAGGCAGAGAUCACCCAGACUCGGCCUGGGUGACUGCAGUUAGCCGCAGGGAGCUAGGGUGGCUCCGGCGGCGCGCGGGGACGGCGGAGGCCGGCGGGGACGACGUCGGAGAGUGACUCUCGGCCGAGGGUGCAGGCCUGACAAGCAAGGAUGGCUCCCUAUGGUUGUCGGCUGAGAAGAGGGAAACCAAGGUGGAGGUUUUCACUGCCGGUAGGAAUUCCGGCAGCCGGGGGCACUCGCCGGCAGCCGGGGUGAGCGCACGAUAAGGGCAUGGUGAAGCUGGAGUCUGUAGGGAGCGCUGCUGAGGGAGUUGGAGGCUAGGGUUAGGGUUGGACCAUGAAACACUAGAACUAACCUAUAUGUAUAAGAUGUAACUGCGCAAAGGUCCACCAAAACUUCAUAAUUUAAGCUGAGUCCCUGCCCAUGCGUGUAUUUUGUACGUACGCACCUCCACGUCCGAUCUCGCGCGAUUCGGUACAUAAAAUGUCUCACUUUUUGCAAAAUUACCUUUUUGCCAUCGCCGACCUCACCUCGUUCAACGCGCGAUAUCCGCAGAUCCGUUAGUCAGAUUUGCGAACGGAUCGCACCAGUACGAUCAGCACAAUGGAGACAGCAAACUCACCAUUUUGUUUUGCCUUGAUCGGUCACGGAUUCGCGACGAACGACACACAAAUACAAAUAAAACAUGUAUUUUCAGAUUUUCUCAAAAUCCGUGCACCAAACGCAAAAUCUGUCAACGCCAUGGGUUCCAGAAUAGCUGAACCGGUCGAAACGAGCUAUUGGAUCGCUAUGAACGGAGUCCGAUACGCGCCAGAAGCCAUCUUCACUCAUUGGCUUCUUCGGAAAAUCGGAGUUACUAUUCACUUUAGUGAUUAGUUUUUAUCGCGUAACUUUUUUGUUCUCACUCGUUUUCUCCUGAAACUUGACAAAUGCUUAUGUAAUUAAAUUACACACAAAAAUAUCGUCAACAGAGAGUUUAGUUACAUUGUCAGAAUCUCAGUCCUUACACUACCCAAGCCACCGAGCAAGCGCACCGCAGCCGCCGUGAACGGCUCACCUAAAGGCACGAAGAGAGAGAGGGAGAGAAAGGAGGGAUGAGAGAGAUAAAAAGAUGAGGGUCAAAUAGAGAGAAGGAAGAUAGAGAGCAUUGAGUGAGGGGAGAAGAGAGAGGGAGGGGGGCUAGCUGUAGAAAGUUGGGUAGAGAGAGGAGGGUUGAAUAGAGAGAGAAGGAAGAGAGAGAGAGAGGAUCUGAUGCGGAGAAAGAGAGAUUAGCUGGAGAGGGGGGAAAAGAGAGAGUAACUGGAGAGGGGGGAAGAGAGAGAAAGGGCUUGAGGCCUCGCCACGUGGAAUGGAUAAGAGGUAGAGGUGUCACGUCGGUUUUGAAGCGAGUGUCAUAUAUAUAUAUAUAUAUAUAUAACUUAAGUCAUUAAUUUUUUUUUCUUCAAAAGUUUUGUAUACAUAUAACAUUAUGUUACCAAAAUUUAGAUGAUCGUGAAUUAAAAAAGCUAACCAAAGUUAGCUGAGUAAAAUGACUUUUUUUACUCCUUAUAUAUAUACUUUUUAUUUUAAUAUUGAGUCACGUCAUAUUUCUCACUCUUUCCACUUUAUCUAUGGUAGGUGACAGCAAAACCUAUGAUGGUGGCAAUGUUAAAGGUGAAGCCCACCUCGGUUGCAACAAAAAUGAGAUACCUCGCACGCACCGAGGCGAAGGCAAGGUGAGAGAAAAAAAAUGAUAGCUUUUUGUAGUGACAAAAUCGUAAAGACAAAUUAGUCAUUUUAUACAUCCACGUUGAAAGCUAACAGUGAAUCUAACGUCGGGGAUAUAUAUGAACGAAGCAGCACUACAACAAUAUUGAUAUUUAUCAAUAUUUUUCUAGCAACACUUAAGCAUAUGCCAUUAUUUAUUUUAGGCUAAAUUACAUAGAACUCUUCUAUCAAAAUUCGAUUUUUCACUUUCUCCCCAUGUCAUUUAAAAACCUACACUUUGCCCCAUUGUAAAAUGAAAAAUGUUCACGGGGGGUGUGGUGUGUAAAAUGACCAUUUUGCCCCUCACCAUUUUCGUCUCCUCCAUCAUCUUCCUCAACCGCCGCCUCGAUCAGCCGCGAUUCACACCUUGAUCGGCUGCGAUUUCUCUCCAUUUUCUUCUCCACCUGCUCCCCUUCUUCUCCUGCACCCUCGCCGCCCCUCGAUUUCGACGACAGUAGGGAGGAAAUCAAUGUGGGCGUUGAUGGAGAGGUAGACAAGGGCAAUGAGGGCAAAGGCGAGGCGGUGGAGGAAGGCGAAGGGGAUGUGGGCGAGGGCGAGGCAGUGGAGGAGGGCAAGGCGGCGAUGAGGCGGCGAGCCGGAAGGAGGCGAAGCAAUAGGGAAGAGGGCAAAGGGGUAUUUUGGCAUAAAAAAUAUUUUAUAACAAAACCCUAACAGAACCCUAACGAUAGGGGGUGAAGUGCACAUUUUUUAUUUUACAAUAGAGCAAAGUGUAGAUUUUUAAAUGACGGGAAAAAGUAAAAAAUCAAGUUUUAACAGGGGGUUUUCUGUAAUUUAGCCUUUAUUUUAUUUAGUAACACACAAAUAAAAGUAUUGUUGAAUAUAUAAAUUCACCAACAUUAUAUAAUAAACUAGCAAUUGACCCAUGCGAUGCAUGGGAGUGUUGUUACCAACUUUUUGUUAUAAUUUUUAAGUAAUUUAUUUUAGGAUAGAAUAAAAAAGUGACUUAAUUUUAAAAAAUAACAAUAUGACAAUUUUUUUUGUUGAAGUAUCAAAUAACAAAAAAAGAGUGACUAAAUUUGUUUCCUUAACUUAUUACUAUAUUAUUUUGUUGAAUUAUCAAAUCUUCUUUAAAAUGCAAUAAAAAAAUUAUUACUGUAAAAUUUUACAUACCUCUCAAAAUGAUUGUUGAGUAUUUGUAGGUGAUAUAUAUAAGGACUGAGAUUUUGACAGUGCAACUAAACUCUCUGUUGACGAUGUUUAUAUGUGUAAUUUAAUUACAUAAGCACUCGUCAAGUUUCAGGAGAAAAUGAGCUAAAAUGGAGAAGUUACGCGAUUAUUAGUUUUCACUUAAGUGAAUAGUAACUCCGAUUUUUCGGAGAAGCCACGGAGUAGAGAUGGCUUUCGGCGCGUAUCGGACUCCGUUCAUAGCCAUCCAAUAGCUCGUUUUGAACGGUUCAGCUAUUCUGGAACCAAUGGCACUGACGGAUUUCAGAUCCGAUGCACGGUUUUCGAGAAAAAGGAGUUUUAAGAAAAGAGGGUUUCCGCUCUUUGCUAUUCGUGCAUUUUAAAACUCCUCGUGCUCUGUGCUUGUGACCUGGGGUUAGGUGAGAGUUGUUUCUGGUACCUACUAGUGGUAGGGAAUUCAAAUACGGGUUUGAAUUAUAGGUUUUUGGGUUUUCACAUAAGUCUAGGUGUGACUUAUGGAUUAAUUAGAGAGCGGAGGGAUUCCGUCGCGAAUCUGUGACCAAAUCUGACGAAACAAGAUUGUAGUUUUAUUACCCUCGUCGACGCUGAAUGCGAUGGUGCCGUCGGAUCGAAAAUCCGACAGACGGAUCUCCGGAAUUGCGAGAUGUCCGCUAAGGGGUCGAAUUUUGGAAAAACGGAUAAUCCGCGGAAAAGCGCGGCAUUUUAUGUACCGAAUCGCAGAGAUCGGAGUGGAGGUAUGUAGCGCAAGUUGCUGCCCUGGCAGGGGCUGAACCUCUAAAUAUUUGUGUUGGAGGGGUUUUCUGCAAAAUCCACUUGUAUAAUACAUUGGUGAGUUAGUUUUUUGGCACGGAAACCCUAGAUCGAGUCACUCUUCCUCCCCAGCAAACCCUAGUGACUUCAACCCAUCCCUGCCUCGUCGUGCUAGCGCCUAGUCGCGCAAGCGACCCCGGCCGUGGAAAAGCCAAGGUUCCCCUCUCCUUUCCCUCGCCAGCCCUCCUCCCUACCGAGUGACCUGGAAAGCUGUCAUUAACCUCCUGGAGGUUCCCUCGCAGAGACGCUCUCCGGCGUCGACCUCGGCCGUCCCUGCCAUCAGCACGCCCGCCGCCGUUGCUCCUGCUUUGCGGCUAGCCCGAGCAGAUCUGCCCGUGGGUGGCAGAUCUCUCUCCCUGCGCCGCGUCGCUUGGGAUGGCGCUGCGCCCCCCUUCCAGGCCUCCGACGAUCCCUCACCGACGGUAGCCGACGUCUUCUGCGCCGCCGGCGCGUCGGACCUUCUGCAGCACAAUCUUGCUGCGGCUCGGCGUCCGAGUUCGGUAAGAGUCUUCGGGCGCGAGCAUGCAGCCUUGCUCGAGGCGGCCGCCUUGCCUCCUCGCUCCGGCUUCGGGCGACUCCAGGUUUGAAUGUUUCCGACGUCCCCGACCACCGCCGGGCCGCCGCCCCGAAGCUCCUGCCAAGCCGCCGCCCGAAGCUCCUGCGCGCCCAGACUUGGUGCGGGCCGAGGCUAGGCUUCCCUCAAUCCUGCGCCGUCGCCGCCGCACAAGCGGGGAGCACCACCUCCCCCGGCCUCUGGCGAUGGAUCGCCGUCGCCCUCCCCCGACCUCCCGGCCGCCGCCGCCGGCCGCGAUGCGCGAACGACAUGGAACGCGAGCAAGCAGCGGCUUGAUCUCCUCCGCGCGCCACGGCCGCCUCCCGCCGCCGGCAGCAGGUGACCCGACAUCCUUGGCCAGCUGCUCCAUCUCCGGCCGAAGAGCUCGCCGUCCGGCCGCCGCCGCGCCCCUAGGCCUGCCCCCUGGCGGUAAGCAAGUUUUUGCUGCUUCUGUCACAUUGAUUCCUGCUCUAUCACUGUUCCGGCGACCCGAGGCUGUUCGAUGCUCCGGGGUCGUGAGCACGGUGAUUGGUCUGUCAGUCCUGAUCGCGUUGCUCACCUCACACUUAGGGUCAUAGAGCUCCGGAUGAGUUAUUACAUGUGUUUUUACUUUAAUGCGCGCAGUUUGACUGAAUUUCGCAGUCGCUGGUGGUCCCCACAGUGGCCGAGAUUUGCUCCAAAGAAAAAGGUGAGCGACGGCCUCGGCACGCAGAGACCUUCAGUAGGUGUCUGCCCGAGUUUGCGUGAAUGACUCUUGUUUGUGUAGAACGGCACCAUUAAAAGCGCCGAAAUCGCAUGAAAUAAUGCGAUUUCGAGGAUAAUCGGUGAGGAUUUUAUGUAUUUGAGUUGUCUUGCGGCUCUGUUGGCCAGCAUGAUGAAUGUUGGGUUGACCUCUGGACUGAUUGUCAAGUCCCCGGCCUUUGCACGGCGAUCGAAAAUGUUAUUAUCCGGUGUGUUUGUCGGGCAAAACUCCGCCGGUAACGCGUUGUUUUGCGAUCGAAUUAUUCCGACGGUGCUGUGAGUAUUGCGUAUCAGCUGAGCCUUAUUGGCUGGUUCACCGUGCUCAUUUCGACGGGUUCGGAAAUGACGUAGUGGAGCGCCGGGUGGGUUCGGUGUCGAAAUAGACACUUCCGGAAACCCGAUCGGAAUAAUUAUCGUACGAUAAUCGGUCUUACGAUGUGCAGGUAUGGUGUUUGCUGCCGAUGCACGAUUAUCUUAUGUUAGUGCAGCGAUGACUCUGUAGCACGAGUCGGUACGAUCCGGGACAGGUUCGUGGUCCCGACGAGUCCCGGUGCGCGAUUUCGGGGACUUCCGUCGCAGUGUACGAUAGUUGGUAUGGAGGAAACCGAUCAUCGUGCGGUUUGUUUGUGAGGUUGUGAGGCUAGUCGUUGUUAUUUGUGGUUAGACACUAAACCAGGGGACCUCCUUAGGUUCCUCGUUGACGUUCUUCCUGCAGUCAGGAGACAGAUUGCGGGCGUUGUAACAGGUGGGUCUUCGACUCCGACGUACGGAUACAGUGGUGCACCCCCCGCUCUGACGUUACCUUUCACCCUUGUUGUUUAUAUCUUUUAACCAUAUAUAUGUUAGCCUGCAUACCAUGCUGUUUUCCUUCAUACUCCUACUUAUUGUUUGCCAGGAUGUAGAGUAGUCGAUGUGUAGGAGUAGAUAGACUUUCAUCUGUUAUGAUCUUGUGGACCUGGUUAGUGUUUCUUGUACUUCGAUAUCAGUGACCUGGUUGUCGGUCUUCUUGUGUCGGUAUCUGGACUUGUUGGAGUUACAUAUCCUGUAUGGUACCUGGUUGGUCGAGGCGGAACCAUGUUCAUUACCCUUACAACGACCUGGAUUGGUCGCACAGUCUUCUGUGUCGUAUCUAGCACCUGUGGUCGAGCCUUCUAUCCUAUACUUGUGACCUUGUUGCGUCGAUUCAUAUCCUGUACUGCGUGACCUGGUUGAGUCGAUAGUGUCAUACCCUAUACUUACGGACCUGGCUUGCGUCGAUUGUUUCAUGAUCCACCAUGCGGUCGAUGGGCCUGGGGGGCAGGUAUUGUCGGCGGUUGCCGACGGCUUGAUCAUUGAGCAUAUUGCAUUGAUUGGGCGCGUACUUCGUCGGCAAUUUCACGAAACACUGGCGGUCUGAUCCACCGCAAGGAGUGUCUCUUUUCCGGAAAAGUGGUGAUGGUGACAAUCCCGUAGAGCCCUGAGGGUUAGAUGCAAUGUUAGCGCCGGCAGUGGUACGUCGGGAUGGUGUUCCCGAUGCGGACCUCCAGGGGCAUUGGCUUGAGCCGUCUGCGGCCUGUUGACAGAGAGCAUUGGUUGGGAAUUUCAAGAUUGGGGUACUUUUUGGACUUUCUUAACCGGUUGAGAUAAUGUUUUAUGAGUAGCAUUUCAUUGUAUGCAUACUUACAGUUCUUUACUUUAUAGUUGUUUGCUGCUAUAGUAGAGUUCAUCGAUGCUUUCAGUUUCAGUUACAGUUGCGGUAGCCGUAUAUCAGUCAACGUCUCUUACUUUCUUUCAGUUUAUUGGCUACGUAUUCGGUAUACUUGCUCUACUUACUUACUUGUUUGGGUUACUUCUUGUAUUUGUGUGACGCGUUGCGAAUAUAGGAGGACUUGUCCGUGGACACAGUGCGCAAUUCCCCUGUGUUUGUGGCAGAUCUAAUAUCUGGAGUCAGGCUUUUUCAAAAAAAAAAAAAAAAAAAAUAGACGUUUUUUCCGCUGUGUUCAAAUAAAAAGGGGACGCCGGGGACAGGUGACAAUAUAGACUGCGAAUAAUAUUGUACUCAAAAUUUCAGUUCCAAAAUUGCGGCUUUCUCAAAGAGGAAAUAUAUUGUAAAACUCCGACAAUUACUUCGUCAUGCUUGAACAGGGCACUCUAACGUGUUCCAUGGCUAUAUACCAACAUGGUAUUAUGAAGAAAUAAAAAAAAUAUCUUAGUAAUAUACCUAUUAAAGACUGGAUAAUAUUGAUAUACAUUUUUCUUUUAAAAAGUUAAAAGCUAUAUCCAUCCUUUACAAAGAAGUUAAAAAAAGAUAUGGAGAGGAGGGUGAAAAAUAAUAUUCACGCCUAAUAUUAUAUAACUAUAUAUAUAUUAAUAUUAUACUAGUAAAAUGUUACGUGCGCAAAUACACGUAAUAAUAUAGAAAAAGUUAUAAUGUUUUUUUUAAAUAUUUUUUAAUUUGUAGGCCAUUUUUUAUCAUGAUUGCCAAAUUGUAUUUAAAAAAAUUUAAAAUGGAUAAAUCACGGCUAUUAAGAAAGAUAUGCUUUAAAUGAUAAAUAAUUAAACAAUAAUCCUAAUGCCAAAAAUUUACUUUUGAAACUUAAAUAGAAAAAUAAACAAUGUAAAAUAAUUUUGAAAUUAAAUAGAAAAAUAAUAAGUUUUAAACUUAAAAGGAAAUAUAUUCUUGAAAUUUAAAUAGAUAAAUCUAAAAAGAUAUUUUAAUAAAAUAGAAAAAAUCUGUUACUAGGAUUUCACACGCAAUCUGUUAUAGAAAACUUCACUUUUUGAAAUUAAAUAAAAAAAUUUAUAUUUUAGGAUUUUUCACUCAGAAUUGUUAUAGAGAACUUACGUAUUCGAUUUUCUGUUUCUAUUUCAUUUUUAGUUUUAUAUUAAAAUUUUCGGUAUGCGAAAGCAACGCCACCAUGAAAGCAGCGCUAAUUUUUCUCUCUAAACAGUGCGCUCUGUCGGACAGAACCCAAUUGAAUAUACGUGCUUUUAUACUAUAUAUAUUAUAUAUAAAUAUAUAUAUUAUAUAGAUAUAUAUAUAUAUAUACUAUACAAUAUUCCCGAGCACACGGCUCGUUGCCAACCCUCUUCAUUUUCUGCAUGAUUGGAGCUUCCACAAUCGACGAUCGGCCAUUCGUUAAACAUUAGAUCCUAUACCCUUGACCAUGUUUAGAAAUCAAAUUUCAUAUAUUUUCGAUAUUAUUCUCUUAUCCAUCGAGUUGGACACAAAAUAACCGCGUGAAAAUGAAUAUUCUUAUUAUAAAGAUGAUGAUAGCGAUGUAGUCAAUAUCAAGAGUAUUAGAUCUUGUUUUAGAAUAGUUAAAAAUUUUACUAACAAAAAUCACUGAUUGGAUAUUACGCCGUUAAACGAGGAAAACGUCUCAUUAUCGGCCAUUAAACUUACAAAAUUUGAAAACCCUCUUGCAUUAUUAGGCAAAUGAUGCGAAAAGAUUUGAAAAAUUUGAUUCUAAACACGUCACAGUGUACAUUAUAGAUCAUAUUCAACGUUGCGAAUCGGUCGAUUUGGGAACUCGUAUCAUCGAUAAACAAAUACAGUGGCAACAGAGCCCGAUUCAUCGAUAGUAUUCUAGUCAACUUUAUAUAUAUAUAUAUAUAUAAUAUUAUAAUUAUUAUAAUAUUAUAGUAUAUAUAUAGAGUCCGGCUACUCAUGCUAUCGUAGCACGGAGCGACUCCGUGCUACCAAAGUUGUUUUCGAUGAUGCGGCUUCCAAAUCCGAUAUCGCUCCGUUAGACUUAUCUUACACUAUUGAAAGUAUUUUGAAACUAAUUCAGAUUUUUUCGACAUAUUUGACUAGUGAUCAAAAGAUCUCAAAUCCGAUAAUUUUAAUGGCCGAUUGGUGUGUUGUGAGUUUAACGUGCUUAAAACAAUCUAAAUUGCGCAUGAAAAUUUUAUAGAAAAUUCUUUUCAAACUACUUAGAGUUAAGAAUCAGUAUAUCUGAUCUUGAAUUUAAAUUCUUUAUCAUUCAUUUUUAUGAGAUUUUUAUUUUCAGCCCGUUUCAAUUUUAACUACUUGUUUGGGUAGAAUGAAAUCGAAAAUUAUAAAAUUUAGUUUCUAAAUAUUUUCAAAUAGUGUAUUCAAGUCUAACGGAGCGAUUGUCCGAAUUUGGAAGCCGCAUCAUCGAAAACAAGCUUGGUAGGCACGGAGCGCUUCCGUAGCUACCGAUAGUGAUAAGUAGCCUAUUAUAUAUAUAUAUAAUAUCCCAUUUACUACAUACUAAAAUAGAACCCUUUUGAACUCUAUGUGAAAAGCUGACAACGUGGCUUUUUUGUGUUUAAAACGGUCAACUCAAAGUAUAUAUAUAUUAUAUAUUAUAAUAUAUAUUAUAUAUAUAUAUAUAUAUAUAUAUAUAUAUAUAUUACUACAUACUAAAAUAGAACCCUUUAUGAACUCUAUGUGAAAAGCUGACACGUGGCUUUUUAUGUGUUUGACACGUGUCAAGCUCAAAUUAGAAAAUAAUAAUUAUUUCAAAUUAAGUCAAAUUAGAUUUUUUUACAAAAUAAUAUUAGCAAAUAAUAUGCUUUCUAUAUGCUUUCUAAAUAGUUUUUUUAGAAAAUAAAAAUAUACCAAUUAAAUAAAAUUAGGAAAUAAAAUUAAAUUAAUGCAAAUUAUUUCAAAUCUAAUAUUAUGAUAUUUAUCAUUUCACUUAUCUAACAAUUUAUCUAUAUUGUUAUUGGAGCAGGUACUUUCCAUCUUCAUGCAACAAAGUUUGUUUCUUUAUAUUUUCUUGAAGACCAACAUCUAUAUGUUUUUAAAUCUUGAAAGUUGGUAUGUCUCUCAUAUACGUGUACUUACUAUAAUUUGUAUCAAAUAUGAAAGUUUAGUUGAUCUCAUUAUAUUCUUAAAUAUUAAUAUCAUUUUAAUUUUUCAUAUCAAUUUUGCUUUUGCAUUUUAUUUCGUACUAUAAUUAAGAUUGAUAGUAUAUUUUUUUAUUUGUUAAAAAAAUAUAAUAUUAAUUAGAAUAUUUUUUUAUCAUCACAUAAUAAUUUUUAUUAUUCUAUAUUAUUAUAUUAGUCGUGCAUCGUGGGGGUCAAAAACGAGUGUAUAUAUAUAUAUAUAUAGAGAGAGAGAGAGAGAGAGAGAGGUGGAUGAUAAUGAAUAAAUAAUAGCAUUUAAUUUAAUUAUAACAAUUAAUAAACUUAGACGUGGCGACAUGGGUACGGCGACGUGGCGUUUGGCACGGCGACAUUAGCGGGAGCGCUGGACGCGGCGACGUGGGCGAGAGCAACGGUCACGGCAUCAUAAACGGUAAGAUGGAAGGUCAUUUCUACUGUAAAAGCAAAAAAGAAAACAGAAGUUUAAAGUAAAAAUGCAUGGAAACCCCCUCAACUAUAUUGGAUUGUUAAAUAGCUUUCUCCAUUAUUUUUGGUUGCAGACCAUUUCAAUUUUUAAUUUUUUUUCUUUUGUGUUUAAACACUGAACCAAGCAAGUUAUAAUUUAUUCAGAAAAAUUUAAAUAUUUAUAUAUUAAAAAAAUUUUAGUUAUAAAUUUAUAUUACUUUUACAUUAAGUAGUUGAAAAAUAUCAAAAGUAAAUCUAAAGUUAUAAGUUACAUUAAUUAGAAAUAGUAAUAAAAAUUAGAUGUCUUUAAUAUAUAAGCCNAAGAAAGAAAUAAGAUAGAGAGAGUGUUUUGAGAGUGUGCUGUGAAAGGGAGAGGGCUUAGGCUCAUAACAUGUUGCAACAAUUGCAAACAAACCCCCCACAAAGUCUUAUUUGCAUCAGACUUCAAAAUGCUGUCUGGGGCCUCUUGUACCGGUACAAGGAUUCUUGUACAGGUACAAGGCCAAACAGUGAGCCAAACCCGAGAGCUGCCUCUCGGGUGCGCAGGGUCUGUACCGGUACAAGGGGUCUUGUACCGGUACAAGGCCUAGACUGCAUCAACCCGAGAGCUACUCAGCUCGAAUUACGCUGGUUGUACCGGUACAACCAUCACCUUGUACCGGUACAACAGCUCCAGAAUGCUGUUUUAGGCUUCGAUUCGACUCAACUUCGUGCCAUUCGAUGCCAAAACCAUUCCAACACUUCUUAAACUCAUUUUUGCCCUUCCAACCUUGUUGGAAUGCAAAAUAGAACUCACCAAUCCGUUUCUCUCGACACUUUAACCAAUUUGAUUAAAGUUCGAUUAUCGUUUUCGGGUUUCGAUACGUUACAUAUAUAUAUUACUACAUACUAAAAUAGAACCCUUUAUGAACCCUAUGUGAAAAGAUGACAUGUGGCUUUUUAUGUGUUUGCCACGUGUCAAGCUCAAAUUAGGAAAAAUAAUUAGGAAAUAAUAAUUAGGAAAUAAUAUGCUUUCUAUAUGCUUUCUAUAGUAAACAGAUUUUUUUAGAAAAUAAUAAUUAGGGUAUCAAUACUAAUAACUUUUAUUUUCUAUAUUUUUAUUAAUUGGGAAAAAAAAUUAAUAUAUUAUUAUUAACUUUUAUUAUACCAAUUAAAUAUAAUUAAUAUAAUUAAUUCAAAUUAAAUAAAAUUAAUUCAAAUUAAAUAAACACUAAUAAAUAUAAUUAAAUAAAAUAAAAUAAAAUUAAUGCAAAUUAUUUCAAAUUAAGUCAAAUUAGAUUUUUUUUUUACGAAAUAAUAAUUAGGAAAUAAUAUGCUAUCUAUAUGCUUUCUAUAGUAAAUAGUUUUUUUUUGUAAAUAUUAUAAAUAAAAAUAUACCAAUUAAAUAAAAUUAGGAAAUAAAAUAAAAUUAAUGCAAAUUAUUUCAAAUUAAGUCAAAUUAGAUUUUUUACGAAAUAAUAAUUAGGAAAUAAUAUGUUAUCUAUAUGCUUUCUAUAGUAAAUAGUUUUUUUUUGUAAAUAUUAUAAAUAAAAAUAUACCAAUUAAAUAAAAUUAGGAAAUAAAAUUAAAUUAAUGCAAAUUAUUUCAAAUCUAAUAUUAUGAUAUUUAUUAUUUUACUUAUCUAACAAUUUAUCUAUAUUGUUAUUAGAGCAGGUAUUUUUCAUCUUCAUGCAACAAAGUUUGUUUCUUUAUAUUUUCUUGAAGACCAAUAUCUAUAUGUUUUUGAAUCUUGAAAGUUGGUUUGUCUCUCAUAUACGUGUACUUACUAUAAUUUGUGUCAAAUAUGAAAGUUUAGUUGAUCUCAUUAUAUUCUUAAAUAUUAAUAUCAUUUGUAAUUUUUCAUAUCAAUUUUAGUUAUCAUUUUGUUUUGCACACUAAUUCAUAGAUAAUAGUGCAGGGUUGAAUUUUGCAUUGUACUUGGGUAUUUAUUUUGGUCCAAAAUUUUUUUCUCUAGUUUUUGUACUUUAAUAUGUAAUAUAAUUAAGAUUGAUAGUAUAUUUUUUUAUUUGUUAAAAAAAUAUAAUAUUAAUUAUCUUAAAUAUUAAUAUCAUUUGUAAUUUUUCAUAUCAAUUUUAGUUAUUAUUUUGUUUUGCACACUAAUUCAUAGAUAAUAGUGCAGGGUUGAAUUUUGCAUUUUACUUGAGUAUUUAUUUUUGUCCAAAAUUUUUUUCUCUAGUUUUUGUACUUUAAUAUGUAAUAUAAUUAAGAUUGAUAGUAUAUUUUUUUAUUUGUUAAAAAAAUAUAAUAUUAAUUAGAAUAUUUUUUUAUCAUCAUAUAAUAAUUUUUAUUAUUCUAUAUUAUUAUAUUGGCCGUGCAUCGCGGGGUAUAUAUAUAUAUAUAUAUAUAUAUAGAGAGAGAGAGAGAGAGAGAGAGAGAGGGGGUUGGAUGAUAAUGAAUAAAUAAUAGCAUUUAAUUUAAUUAUAAAAAUUAAUAAAAUUAGACAUGGCGACAUGGGCACGGCGACGUGGCGUUUGGCACGGCGACAUUAGCGGGAGCGCUGGGCGCGGCGACGAGGGCGAGAGCAGCGGUCACGGCAUCAUGAACGGUAAGAUGGAAGGUCAUUUCUACUGUAAAAGCAAAAAAGAAAGCAAAAGUUUAAUGUAAAAAUGUAUGGAAACCCCCUCAACUAUAUUGGAUUGUUAAAUAGCUUUCUCCAUUAUUUUUGGUUGCAGACCAUUUCAAUUUUUAAUUUUUUUUCUUUUGUGUUUAAACACUGAACCAAGCAAGUUAUAAUUUAUUCAGAAAAAUUUAAAUAUUUAUGUAUUAAAAAAAUUUUAGUUAUAAAUUUAUAUUACUUUUACAUUAAGUAGUUGAAAAAUAUCAAAAGUAAAUCUAAAGUUAUAAGUUACAUUAAUUAGAAAUAGUAAUAAAAAUUAGAUGUCUUUAAUAUAUAAGCCCAUCAAAUAUUGCAGAUUAAAUUUUGAAAUAUAAAUUUUAAUUUAGAACUUAAUUUUAAAAUUCUAAUUUAAUUUCACUCAUUCUAUAAAAAAAAUUAAAUAACUUCACUCAUUCUAUUCCAUAUUGAAACUUCUCAUGAAACUGCUUUAUAUAUAUAUAAUGUUGGAACACAAUAAACUAUACUAUUAUCAAAUUAUAAUAGAACUUCUCAUAAAAAUACGUCACAUGGCGACUUGUGGUUUACUCUGAAAACCAUGCUUCCAAAAUUUUGUAUAUAUAUAUAUAUAUAUAUAUAUAUAUUGCUAAAGGCUAAAAUUAUUGGCAUAUAUUAUUAUAUGUCACAAUAAGAAUUAAUAUUUAAAACUUGCAUCCAAAAAUAAUUAUAUAAAAUAACUGAAAAUAACAUAACUCAUAAAAAAAUAUUGGUAGUUAAUUAAGAAAUAUCUUACAUGAACAGACUUAGUGCAUGUGUAAGAAAAUCAUGUGUACACAGCGGAAAAAAAUAACACAAUUAAAAUUUUCUAAAACUAAAGGUCACCUCGUGUUUCGCUUUAGAUCAUUAAUAAUAGAUCUAAUUGAUCUAAUCAAAUAGCAUCUAUUUUAUUUUAUUUUACUUUUACCUCGCGCGGGUCGAGAUCACCGCGAAGUCAACAAUCGUUGUUAAAAUUAUUCGUCAUCGGUUAGCCGCACACAGGCCCGGGCUGUCGGCUUCUACUCACGUCCACACAAAAUCACGUCCUUGAUCGAAUUAGACGACCGCUUUGAUCUGUGAUCCGAUCACGAAUUAACUUUUGCGUCGAUUUGAGGAAGAUGAAUCAAUCUUCUAGAUGUGCUAGCAAUCUUUUGAAGAUCGAAAAUGAUGGAUUAAUUAUGGAGAACUUGAGGAAAAGAGAGGAUUGACAGCUAGGUUUUCUAUUUCUCUCGUAUUAAUUUAAUUUUAAUAUGCCAUAUGACAUCUAUAAACCUAUAUGAAGACACAAUAUUUUUUGCCACGUGGCAUUUUAUUCUUAAUUCUCAUAAUUCCACUUUAAAUCAAAUCUUUUUUCUUCUUUUCUCAACACCCAACCCUUCACUUCUCCAUUAUUUUAAUUACAUGUAAGGUAUCAUAUUAAUAUUCUAUCAAUAAGUGAGGUUUGUAACUUCAAUCCACUCCUCUCCUUCAUUAAUCUCCCACUUUCUAUUUUUUGUAACUCUUUUGCAUGCACCAUAAAAAAAAAUAUCAUUGUUACAUAACAUGCUAUUCUUGAUUCUUUAAUUUCACUUUAAAUCAAAUCACUUUUUUCUUCUCUUCUCAACGUCCAACCCUUUACCUCCUUUUAAUUACAUGUAAGGUAUCAUAUUAAUAUUCUAUUAAUAAGUGAAUUUUGUAACUUCAAUCCACUCCUCUCCUCCAUUAAUCUCCCACUCCCUAUCUAUUGUAACUCUUUUGCAUGCACUAGAAAAAAAUAUCAUUGUCUAAUCUCCUACCCCACACUCUUCUUCCUUUUUCUCUUAUUGUGUUAAUGAUGAUAAUGAUAAAGAAGAAGAAGAAGAAAAAGAAGAGCUUAUGAAGAACGUUGUCUUCUUCGAGAAGUAUUGUCACGCCCCAAUCCCCGCCAAUUUGGUCGGGUUCGGGUCACGUCAACAGACGCCGGACGGACAGAGCCUCCCUUGUCCGCCCAAGGCUCUACCGCAAGUAUAAAUAGGCAAUCAACAAGAGAAUUGCAUAUAUAAUACAAGGCUUGCACGAGGGCAAGCAACAACGGAAGCGAAAGCUCUAAGCUAAUUAAGCAACAUACAAGAUAUUCGAUUUCAUUUAAACCAAAUUCAGGUAAACAAAGCUAUUACAUUCCAUUCAACCAUCAUAUCUUUUAUAUUUAGUCAUCCACCAAAUACAUGAUUGUUUACACUUUUCAUUCCUAAAUCAACGAAAUAGAGUUGAUACAUGUAUAACAAAAGGGAAUGACUACAAAAUGCAUAAAGUCCCGGUGGCCACUACCUACGGCGCCAAACCCUUGCCUCGGUCCUCCGCCGCCCCGCUCGUGCUAGGACCUGUAGGGUUAGUGGUGUGAGAACUACAACGAAGUUCCNUGAUGGUAAGACUAUGUCGGUUUAUAUAUUACAGUUUGGUGAUACAAAUGAGGUGUUUGUUUAUAGGUCGCAAUGGAAAUUUAUAAGCGACUCGGCCCGAGAAGUAUUUAACAGCUGAAAAUUAAGAAGAUGUAUAAGAUUUAGAUGAGCAAGCUCGCAUGGAGGAAGAAGUGCUCAUAUUAGUUUUUUUUUUUAAUUUAUGUUUUUGUUUUAUUUUUAUCUUAUACCAUUUUUUUGAGUAUAUGUGGAGACUAGAACAUGAAAUCUCACCUAAAGUUUUUUUAAGCCCGAUACAUUAACUUAUUAUUUAUGUGUUUCAUAUAUUUAAUCUGUUUUGAUACUUCAAAGGUGUUUGAUUCAACUAUAGUAGCUCUUUUUUUUUGUGUUUUAUAUAUUUAAUUUGUUUUAAUAUGAUAAAAUUGUAUAUCUCUUACAGUAUUUCGAUGAUUUAAAAAAGUAUAUAAACUUUUAACUAUAAUUUUAUUUUUUUAACAGUUGAAUUUAAUAAUGCAAAUUAGCUAUGCUUACUAUAGUGUAGCUUCCUAUAUACCAAUAAACUGUAAAUAUAAAUUUUAUUGAAAUUUUAAAAUUUUAUUUCUAUUGUUUAUCCGUCGCAUCGCGCGGAUUUCUACACUAGUAUAUAUUUAUAAUGAGAAAACCCUAAGCCUAAUCCUACUCCUAAUCGAAAAACUAGUCCAAUUGGAUUAUCCAUUAACCCACAAGUUAGUUAUAAUAUUAACUGAAUCUGAAUCCUAAUUCUAAUUCGUGUCACGCCCCGGGGUCCCUUUCAGUUUAAAAGAUAGCGGAAAAGCGUCUGAAUUUUUUUUUUUUGAAAACCUGACUCCAGAGUAUGCCAGAUCCGCCACAAAUACAGGAAAUCCACUAUGCACACGGACAGAGUCUCCCCUGUAUUUGCACGGCAUUGCACAAAUACAAGAAGCAACCCAGGUACAACCACAACCAAAUGAAUAUACAAAUAACCAACAAUUAUAUAUCCAUACACCAUUCACAUCACAGGUUCACAUUUAUAUAUUCAAUAUUUAAACAUAAAUCCACAUCUAUCAGUUAAAAUGUUUCCAACUCAGAAACAGAUUUUGAAAUACUAAGAUACAAAAUCCACAAAAAACCUUUUAAAAACUGUUCCCUACACGGGAACUUUUAUCUUUUAAAAACGUUACCACGAGGGGUAGAAAACCUUUUAUUUUACAAAAUUCAGAAAUCCUUUUAUUUUAACGUAAUGAAAUACUGAACCACAUAAACCAACUAAACUAUACAUCAACAGAAAUAAUAGGGGUAAUAACUAAACCGAAAUAACCUGAGUCGGAAGUUCUAUCGACCGCUACGUAUCUCACGUCUCGUCUCAACCCUCACCGCCCGCGAUACCUGAAAAAUGGUGGGGGAGGUGAGAACAUGUAAACAUGUCUCCCCUCCCAGUGGGUACCGCAAGCCGAAGAAGGCGAGGAGUACUCAUCGGAUCAGGAAGAGCUAUACAACAACACAAGUCAGUGAAAAUAUAGUAGC